UUUAACCUUUAUAGAACCGGGUUUGUUUUCUUAACUGUCUUCCCUGUUGAUAUCAUACACGUUUGGAGAAGGAGCUGUCUUUUCAUUCUGUGUUUGUACAAUGCCCUGUGCAACAGUGUCCUGGCCCAUGACUGGAAUACUCAGAUGUCACAAUAAUACUCUGUCUACAUGGAACACUGCAAUGUGACUGUACAUUAAUACCUUCCUGAGGAUCAGCAUUUUCUGUUUCUGAAAAUCCAAUCCAAUCAUAGAAUUGUAGGGCUAAGAGAGACCUCAAGAGAUCAUCUAAUCUAGUUCCCUGCACUCACAGAGGUUAACAAGAAACAAUACUUCAGCUGAGGCAUGAAUCAGCACAGAAUAGAGCACAGAAUAAGUGGAAUUACUUCUGUCUUGCUUAGAACACUCUUGACGAACACUUACGGAUUCUGAACACUUGUGGACACCAAAUAUGAAAAGCAUAUUGAGACUAAUAUUUCAUCAUUCAUUUUGUACAAGAAGAUUCCUAGCAGAAGGCAUUGUCUAUUUGAUUUAAAAUGUAACAUUACUGUAAAAGUUAUUGUUCUACUGUAUAUUAGACUAAGUGUAUUACCAAGAGUGAUUGAUUGCCUCCUCCCCCAAAAAAUAAUUUAUAUAUCAUCAGAAGCACGAUUCACUUAACAUUUAGAAAGCCUUGUUUCUUGUUCCUGUCAUUUGUCACACAUCAGCAACUAAAUCAAUAUAUUAUUCCCCACAAAUAUGGGGCCUGAUUCUAAGAAGAGCU